rnacentral:rRNA from 1 species
AUUGAACGCUGGCAGCAUGCCUUACACAUGCAAGUCGAACGGUAACGCGGGGCAACCUGGCGACGAGUGGCGAACGGGUGAGUAAUGCAUCGGAACGUGCCUGGUAGUGGGGGAUAACUGCUCGAAAGAGCAGCUAAUACCGCAUACGACCUGAGGGUGAAAGGGGGGGAUCGCAAGGCCUCUCGCUAUCAGAGCGGCCGAUGUCGGAUUAGCUAGUUGGUGGGGUAAAGGCCCACCAAGGCGACGAUCCGUAGCUGGUCUGAGAGGACGACCAGCCACACUGGGACUGAGACACGGCCCAGACUCCUACGGGAGGCAGCAGUGGGGAAUUUUGGACAAUGGACGCAAGUCUGAUCCAGCCAUGCCGCGUGCGGGAAGAAGGCCUUCGGGUUGUAAACCGCUUUUGUCAGGGAAGAAAUCUUCUGGGUUAAUACCUCGGGAGGAUGACGGUACCUGAAGAAUAAGCACCGGCUAACUACGUGCCAGCAGCCGCCGUAA